GACGAACGCUGGCGGCGUGCUUAACACAUGCAAGUCGAACGGAAAGGCCCCUUCGGGGGUACUCGAGUGGCGAACGGGUGAGUAACACGUGGGUGAUCUGCCCCAAACUUUGGGAUAAGCCUGGGAAACUGGGUCUAAUACCGGAUAUGACCAUGGGAUGCAUGUCUUGUGGUGGAAAGCUUUUGCGGUUUGGGAUGGGCCCGCGGCCUAUCAGCUUGUUGGUGGGGUAAUGGCCUACCAAGGCGACGACGGGUAGCCGACCUGAGAGGGUGAUCGGCCACACUGGGACUGAGACACGGACCCGACUCCUACGGGAGGCAGCAGUAAGGAAUAUUGGUCAAUGGAGGGAACUCUGAACCAGCCAUCCCGCGUGAAGGAUGAAGGGGCUCUGCCUUGUAAACUUCUUUUGCAUGGGACGAAAAACUUAAUUUAUUAAGGACUGACGGUACCAUGAGAAUAAGCACCGGCUAACUCCGUG
rnacentral:rRNA from 1 species